GCGUACGACCAUAUAACCCUGAUUGCGCCCGAUCUCGUCUGAUCUCGGAAGCUAAGGAAGCUAAGCAGUGUCGAGCCUGGUUAAUACUUUAAUGGGAGACUGCCUGUGAAUACCAGGUGUUGUAGGCU
rnacentral:rRNA from 1 species